rnacentral:lncRNA from 1 species
AUGAAAAUGCGAGACCCUGGAGCAGCGAGGGGUGCAAGGCAGGGCGCGCUCGGCCCCGCACGACCUCGACCCCGGGCGGGAGCUCGCGGAGGGGCUGCAAACUCUCGGCAAGUUAGGGCCCGAGGGCGGCACAAACCCGCUCGGCGGCCACCGCCGCGACUGCAAACCCAAGUUUCGCCCUCAGAUGGGGGGCGUCGCCCCAACGUCCGGGGGCCGGAGGGCGCCGCUGCCCCCCCCCCCGCCCCGGGCGCGCACCUGCUCGGCUUCCCGCCGCCCCCGCCGCCCCGGAGCCGCCGCGCGACCUCGCGGACUUGCCCCCGCCCCCCCGCCCGCGCGGUGCCCGGGUCCACCCCCCCCUCCCGCCCCGGCCCGGUCCUCGCGGCCGAUGCCCCCGCAGCACAGACCUGCGGCCUCGGCCGUCCUGGCGCGCGGCUCCGGGCGGGGAGGGAGGCCGGCCCGACGCGGGGCGCCGAAGGGCCGCGGGGGAGCAGGCGGCGGCCACCGGGGCAGCGGCGGAGCUUGGCGCCGCACCCGACAACUGGGCGGCCGGGGGGCGUCCGCGGCCCCGAGGAAGGGGCGCGCCGGGGAGGCCGGGCCGCCAGGGCCGCGCCCAUAGGCCCGGGGAGCCGUCCGUCAGCGCGAGACCCCGCCCCCUCCCGCGGAGCCCCGCCCCGUCUCGUGCGGCGCCGGCCGGAAGGAAGCGGCGCACUUCCGCUCCCCGCGCCGGCCCCGCCCCCGCCCCCGCCCCCGCGGCCCGCCCCGGCGGCCCCUGGGCGCUCGGCCCCCGGCCCGCGCGGUGCCGACUCGGAGCCUCCAGGCCGCCGCCCGCCGCGCACGCGCCCGCCCCAGGCCCAGGCCCAGGCCCAGGGGGCGGCUCCGACGGGGGCGGCUCGGGACCCACCCCCGCCCGAGCUGCUGGAGGCGGGCGCGCUGAGGGCCCGGCGGGCGGACGGACGCCGCGGGGACGCUCGGGCUUCGCCCCGCCCCCGCCCCCCUCCGCCUCCCCCUCCCCCGGGGUCACGCCCCCCCGCGUCCCCCUCCCCCCCGGGGUCACGACCCCUCCGCCUCCCCCGGGGUCACGACCCCCCCGCGCCGCCGGGGCCCCUCCCCCACCCCGGGUCAUGCCCCCUCCCCCCCUUGUCUCGGCCCCCCUCCCACCUCCGGUCUCGGCCCCUCUCCACCUUCCUCCGCCCCCUCCCCAUCUCUGUCCCCCAACCUUCACCCCCGGGUCCCGGCCCCCCCACUUCUCUCCCGCCCCCAUCCCGGCCCCCUCCACCUCCGUCCCCCCACCUGGUCCCGGCCCCCCCACUUCUCUCCCGCCCCCGUCCCGGCCCCCUCCACCUCCAUCCCCCCACCUGGUCUCGGCCCCCCACCUUACCCCCCCAGGCUCAGCCGCCCCCAGCUUCACACCCCCCUCCCCGACGGCCGCCCCCCCCUCCUCCCCCCGGGGCCGGUGCCCGCAGGCACGUGCUGGACGGUGUUUGCUGA